AUGGGAGUUUAGCUCUUGUUGCCCAGCCUGGAGUGCAGGGCUGUGAUCUUGGCUCACUGCAACCUCCGCUUCCCAGGUUCAAGCAAUUCUCCUGCCUCAGCCUCCCAAGUAGCUGGUAUUACAGGCACAGCUACAAGGAACACCCUUCAUUGGUCUCUGGGUAUAAUUAUAGGAAUUGGGUAUGUGGCUAGAAGAAGAAUCACUGGGUGGUGAGGUUUGUGCUUCUGCAAGUUUACCAAGCAUUGCCACAGUGCUCUUCAGUUUAUACUCCUCAUAGAAAUAGGUGUAAGAUAUUGUUAAGACGCACUAUCUUAGCAUGAGACGGGACUUCUUCCAACCCUCCUAUGGAACAGAUGGGCAGACUGAGGACCUGAGAAGGAAUCUACUUGCCCAGGAUCACACAGAUGGUAGGAAGCGAUCUUCAGCCUGAGACCCAUCUCUAGGUAAGUAGCUGAAUUGGGGUUUUGUCUUGGCUAAAGUUUAAUAACCAGCUGGUCUUAAUUUCUCCUUACUGUUAGAGUGUGCAGUGAUCAUAUUGUUGGGG